rnacentral:lncRNA from 1 species
CCAGCAUGUGCCUGGCACCCAGUAGGGACUCCACAAAUAUUACUUGAGUAAAUGAAUGAGGCAGAAGCUAUUAUGAUUAUUUUGUUAUUGUUCUCAUUAUCAUUGUCAUGGUUCUUAUUAUUGUUUUUAUUGUUAUUCUUAUGAGGUCCUUCGAAUAAUGCCACCGGGCUUGAGAGUAUUGUGCCCUCUCCCUGCCCCUCUCCAAAAGCUGCAUUAUCUCUCUGCAUAGCCCCUGUUGGCUGUGAGCCUCCUCUGAUUUCUUUGCAACCUUCCUCUUUGGGGCUGCUGCUGUCCCCUGCCUCUCACUCUGCAGCUGUGAACCGGAGACACCUGCACAUCCAUGCGACUCCCUGCAGCCAAACGAACAUCUUCACAAGGAACCCCGUGUGCACAAGGAUGUUACACAGAAAUGCCUGGAAAGCAAGGAGCAGCUAUCAGAAUGUUUGGUGACGCAGCUCCUCCUGUCGUGGUUCCUUCAGCACGGACUUCACGUUCAGCAGGCCCAUGAGGUGUUCCCUUUCAGAUGAGCUCCAAGGUCUUAAGAGAGCAUCUCUGGUCUCCAUGAGUCCCUCUGAACAACGGUCCUGAGCAAGAACCACCUAUAACCAUCUGCUCAAAUAACUCAGGGGAAGUCAAAGCUUUCUAUGUGGAAGGUAACUGAAACCACAUACACAGACCACUGCAGCACUCCUGACAUUAUGGAGCUUGGAAAUGAUUCCAAACGCAAACAUAGCUUGCUACGUGAGUGACAUGUUUUUCUAUGACAAGAACUUGGAGUGUAAUCCUUCCCCCAUCAAGAAUGUGACAUCACACCUUAUCAGAUCGUAUGCAUAAGCUACCAACCUCAACCACUGAACUUCAAACUACGUGAAAACCUAAGGGUUUGACAGACACUUUGAGAGCUUGGGCUGUGGCAAGCUACACUCUGUCAGCCUCUCUUAGACAGGGCCCCACCCUGCUAGCCUUUGAACUUGGAAGCCUCGCCUGCCAACACUGGCGCCGCCCUCUAGCAUUGACGGACGGUAUGUGUCUUUGUGAAUCUCCGUUGUGUUGGACGGCUUCUCUCCCAAGAGCUGCUCUUGGGAGACACGCCACACUUUAAUGAGCCUUCGCUCUCCACUGAGGCCUGCUUCCAUCUUAAUUGAGCAAGUAGACUUUGGUAACUUUGGAACUCACUCACUCUGUGACUAAUACACCCUGUCUACCCAGAGCAUUCCCUGUGAGAUUUGUUCAUGUUGCUCUCCCCCUCCUUAAGCAUUGUGAACCUAAGACAAAUAUCAUCUUUGUAGGGCAAUAAACC